AGUGAACGCUGGCGGUAGGCCUAACACAUGCAAGUCGAACGGCAGCACAGUAAGAGCUUGCUCUUACGGGUGGCGAGUGGCGGACGGGUGAGGAAUACAUCGGACUCUACUUUUUCGUGGGGGUUAACGUAGGGAAACUUACGCUAAUACCGCAUACGACCUACGGGUGAAAGCAGGGGAUCUUCGGACCUUGCGCGAUUGAAUGAACCGAUGUCGGAUUAGCUAGUUGGCGGGGUAAAGGCCCACCAAGGCGCCGAUCCGUAGCUGGUCUGAGAGGAGGAUCAGCCACACUGGAACUGAGACACGGUCCAGACUCCGACGGGAGGCAGCAGUGGGGAAGAUAGGAAAAUGGGCGCAAGCCUGAUCCAGCCAUACCGCGUGGGUGAAGAAGGCCUUCGGGUUGGAAAGCCCUUUUGUUGGGAAAGAAAAGCAGCAGGUUAAUACCACGCUGUUCUGACGGUACCCAAAGAAUAAGCACCGGCUAACUUCGU
rnacentral:rRNA from 1 species